rnacentral:tRNA from 1 species
GCGGGCGCGUAGUUCAAUGGUAGAACGAGAGCUUCCCGCUCUAUACGAGGUUCGUAUCCCUCGCCCGCUCCA